UGUCCAGUAGCACCUUAGAGACCAACUAAGUUUGUUCUGGGAAUAAGCUUUUGUGUUAGUUGGUCUCUAAGGUACUACUGGACA